GAUGAAGAACGUAGCGAAAUGCGAUAAGUAAUGUGAAUUGCAGAAUUCAGUGAAUCAUCGAAUCUUUGAACGCACCUUGCGCCCUUUGGCCAUUCCGAAGGGCAUGCCUGUUUGAGUAUCAUGAACACCUCAACUCUUCAUGGUUUUCCGUGAUGAGCUUGGACUUUGGGGGUCUUGCUGGCCUAUGGUCAGCUCCUCUAAAAUAAAUCAGCUUGCCAGUGUUUGGUGGGUAUCACAGGUGUGAUAACUAUCUACGCUUGUGGUCUUCCACCAGGUAACCUUCAGCAGUGGAGGUUCGCUGGAGCUCACAGAUGUGUCUCUCCUCAGUGAGGACAGCUCUUUGAAUGUUUGAUCUCAAAUCAGGUAGGACUACCCGCUGAACUUAAGCAUAUCAAUAAGCGGAGGA
rnacentral:misc_RNA from 1 species